CUCACUAAUGUGGUUGGGCAACACCAUCGAUUGAAAAAACGACCAACGUCCUGAAAACAAUCACUGGCAAAGGACUUCAGAGUGUCUCCUGCAAAUAGGACUCUGUCCAGAAAAGGAAAGGGGCCAGUAUGGAGUGGGGAAGGACCCUUCCAAGGGCAGCUCUUAAGAAGCCCCCAGAACUGACCAGUGGAAUCAAUGGAGGAUAUGCACCCUCGGCUUCCAGCUAAAAUGAGCCUAAUUGCAGCAUCUACCUCAAGGGAUUGCUGUCAACAUGUAUGAAAUUCUGGGAACAAUUUUGGGCAGAGUAACUAUACCUUAAAUAACAGCCAUGGUCUGCAAAGCUUUUCAA